rnacentral:rRNA from 1 species
AUUGAACGCUGGCGGCAGGCCUAACACAUGCAAGUCGAACGAGUGGCGGUCGGGUGAGUCAUGUCUGGGAAACUGCCUGAUGGAGGGGUAUAACUCCUGUAAACGGUAGCUAAUACCGCAUACAAUCAGAUCUGCCCCGACGGGAUUAGCUAGGUGGUGGGGGAACGGCUCAUCAUGGCGACGAUCCUUAGCUGUACUGAGAGGAUGACCAGCCACACUGGGACUGAGACACGGUCCAGGCUCCUGCGGGAGGCAGCAGGGGGGGAUAUUGCACAAGUGGCGGAAACCGGAUGCGGCCAUGCCGCGUGUAUGAAGAAGGCCUUCGGGUUGGAAAGUCCUUUCGGCGGGGGGGCGCUACCCGCAGAAGAAGCACCGGCUUACUCCGGGCCAGCCGCCGCGGUAAUUC